CUAAGUUAAAGACGAGAAAUAGAACGAGAGAAUAUAUUCGAUCAUAUAUAAGAGCUUGCUGUAAUAAAAAGAAAGAACCGAUUGACCAGUACACAAUUAUGGACAUUGUUAUGAAGAAAUCUAGUUUGCUGUUCUCCACUAAGAUCUCCCCAUGAAGUGGAUCACUAAGUAACAGGGAAAGCAGAGAGUAGCAAAGAUAAGGAACUUCCAUCACCAUAGCAGGACUUUUAAAGACUUUCUGUAGGUAGAGGGCAAAAGAUACCAGAAUGAAGCACUUACUAGAGUCAAAGAGCUGAAUCACAAUUCUUCUCCCAUGAGACAGGAAGAUACCUCAGAAGAAAAUGCUGCAGUCCCUGUGGGAAAACAAAGAAACAAAUCCAAGUUCUUGAUUCAGACAGGUGUAGUCUGUGAGGCAGACAGUGAUAACAAGCACAAAACCAUGCGUGAGGGGUAGGCAAGCAGUAAAGAAAAAUGUCUCAAUUUUACAAACUCAAAAUGCAAAUGGAGGAAGGACAUUGCCAUGAUGAAAUCAGCAAUUAAUUUGGUGGAAGAAAAGAUAAACUUGAGAGGUAGCUCAGCUGACCCAGAGAUGAAUAAAAAUAAAGAUUACAAUAGGAAUUUUGAGAUAUUAAAAAGAUUUACAUUGAAUGAGCAUCCAUGCCAGAGAGCAUUUGAAAAUAUGAAGUAUGUAAGUCAUGUGA